GGCCGGCACCGGCGGACCCGCCCGCUUCUGCUUCCCGCUUGCGCCGGUCCCUUCGGGUGGCUCCCGCCGCCAACCCCACCUGAGAAAUCAGAAUGCUCUGGAUCAUUAUCUGUUACACUAUUAUAUAAAAUUUAUAUUUAACCUGAAAUCAAAAUGACAAUCAACAAUGACAACCUAUCCCUGCUGAAAAAGUAGCACAACUACUAAAGCUGCUGGAGGGAUGAGUUGGCUGAAGGGGAAGCAGCAGCAGCAAAGGAAUUCUAUUAAUGAAAGGAAGAGUGAAAAACAGAGAACGAAGCUCAGGAAGGUCUUAUAGAAGAUUCAUGGAGAAAGGUACACUGUUGUGGAGUUCACAUGCCGCUUCAUUGCACAAGGGAUCCCAAGAGAUUGCUUACAAGCAGUUCUGCUAAUUUAUUAGUAUAUUAUGC